rnacentral:rRNA from 1 species
UAUGUGAUCGUCUCUCGCAUAUCAAUAAGCGGAGGAAAAGAAACUAACAAGGAUUCCCCUAGUAACGGCGAGUGAAGCGGGAAGAGCUCAAAUUUGAAAUCUUAAAGGGUUUCCCUUUACGAAUUGUAGUUUAAAGAAGUGUUUUCUGUUGAGGUUUUGGUAAAAGUUCUUUGGAAUAGGACAUCAUAGAGGGUGAGAAUCCCGUAUUUGACCUUUACUUUCAACUUUGUGAUACACUUUCAAAGAGUCGGAUUGUUUGGGAAUGCAGUCCAAAAUGGGUGGUAAAUUUCAUCUAAAGCUAAAUAUUGGCGAGAGACCGAUAGCGAACAAGUACCGUGAGGGAAAGAUGAAAAGAACUUUGAAAGAGAGUUAAACAGUACGUGAAAUUGUCAAAAGGGAAGCGUUUGACACCAGUGUUGUUUUUCUGAAAAUCAAUUAAAGAACUGUUUAUGCUAAGCUGUUUAGACUUUAUCAGCUAUCUGUUUAGUUUUGAGCUUUUCUUUAAUGCACUUUUCAGUUAACAAGUCAACAUCAAUUUCUUUGCUGUAAAAAAGCUUGAGGAAGGUGGCUUGAGACUCGUCCUAAGUGUUUAUAGCCUCUUGCCUAUGCAGUCGGAGAGAUUGAGGUCUGCAGCGUAGAUCCUUCGGGGCUAAAUGCAUUUGUGCUAAGUUAUAGCAUUUUAUAGACAACUUGUUGACUAUGAUUUGUCUUGUAGCUUACUCGCUUAUGUUAUUUUACCUACGCUUAGGAUGUUGAUAUCGCGCUCUCACUG